UUAUAUAAGUUAUCGUUUAUUUGAUAUUGCCUAUCCUACAUGGAUAACAGUGGUAAUUCUAGAGCUAAUACAUGCUGAAAAUCCCGACUUCGGAAGGGACGUAUUUAUUAGAAUCAGAACCAAUGCCCUUCGGGGUUCUUUGGUGAAUCAUGAUAACUCCACAGAUCGCAUGGCCUUGCGCCGGCGAUGGCUCAUUCAAAUUUCUUCCCUAUCAACUUUCGACGGUACGGUCUUGGCCUACCGUGGUUGCAACGGGUGACGGAGGGUUAGGGCUCGACCCCGGAGAAGGAGCCUGAGAAACGGCUACUACAUCCAAGGAAGGCAGCAGGCGCGCAAAUUAUCCAAUCCCGACUCGGGGAGAUAGUGACAAUAAAUACCGAUACAGGGCUCUUUUGGGCCCUGUAAUUGGAAUGAGUACAAUUUAAACCUCUUAACGAGGAACAAUUGGAGGGCAAGUCUGGUGCCAGCAGCCGCGGUAAUUCCAGCUCCAAUAGCGUAUAUUAAAGUUGUUGUGGUUAAAAAGCUCGUAGUCGAACCUCGAGCCUGGCCGGCCGGUCCGCCUCACCGCGUGCACUGGUCUGGCCGGGCUCUUCCCUCUGCGGAACCGCAUGCCCUUCACUGGGCGUGUCGGGGAGGCAGGACUUUUACUUUGAAAAAAUUAGAGUGCUCAAGGCAGGCCAAUGCUCGAAUACAUUAGCAUGGAAUAAUAGAAUAGGACGUUGGUUCUAUUUUGUUGGUUUCUAGGACCGCCGUAAUGAUCAAUAGGGACGGUCGGGGGCAUCAGUAUUCAGCCGUCAGAGGUGAAAUUCUUGGACCGGCUGAAGACUAACUACUGCGAAAGCAUUUGCCAAGGACGUUUUCGCUGAUCAGGAACGAAAGUUAGGGGAUCGAAGACGAUCAGAUACCGUCGUAGUCUUAACCAUAAACUAUGCCGACUAGGGAUCGGGCGGCGUUCUUU
rnacentral:rRNA from 1 species